CAGCCGCCGCGGUAAUACCGGCGGCCCGAGUGGCGGUCACUAUUAUUGGGCUUAAAGCGUCCGUAGCCGGGUUGGGAAGUCCUCCGGGAAAUCUGGCCGCUUAACGGUCAGAAUGCCGGAGGAUACUCCCAGCCUAGGGAGCGGGAGAGGCCGAGGGGAUUCCCGGGGUAGGGGGGAAAUCCUAUAAUCCCGGGAGGACCACCUGUGGGGAAGGCGCUCGGCUGGAACGCGUCCGACGGUGAGGGACGAAGGCCAGGGGAGCAAACCGGAUUAGAUACCCGGGUAGUCCUGGCUGUAAACGAUGCGGACUUUGUGUCGGACAAGCUAUGAGCUUGUCCGGUGCCGGAGGGAAACCGUUAAGUCCGCCGCCUGGGGAGUACGGCCGCAAGGCUGAAACUUAAAGGAAUUGGCGGG
rnacentral:rRNA from 1 species